UCAGAUGAGGCUGCUUCAUUGUAACCCCCAUUCUCGUCCAACCAUUAGAGAGGAAGAGAAAGAGUUCUUCUCUCUUCUCGGUUUUCGUCCAUUUCUGCACACCCAUUUUCUUUGCAUCAUAUCUCCUUCGUUUCUUAUCCGAAUUGAGCGUGUGAAUAGUCAAAAUCUAUCUACUCAGAAAGAUCUUGCUUGUGGUAUAAUUUGUUUUUGAAGAAAGGGGAAGACGCGACUGCAGUUUUCGUUGCAACCAGACGAGUCAUCCGGUUUUUGUUUCUUGUUGCACCUUCACGAAAAUAACCAUAGCCGGAGAUCUAACCGUUGGAUCGUUUUCAAAUUUGGACAGAACAUUGAUAACACCUUGUUCUUUACUUUGACCAGAGAGAUUGGAAAUCCGAGCUUUUUAUCACCGGAACUCAUGAUCGGAGCAGAGCAGUGCAAAAUAAGAGUUUUCAACAUUCAAGAAAAAGGUUAUGUUGAUGGGUUUCUCCUUUGGUUUUGGGCUCGAGUUGAGUUGUGAGCAUUAAAAAGCUAGGUGUUUUAGGCCUAGACUUUUAGUUAGUUGAAGAGUUAGUUUUCUCUUUUUGUUAUUACUCUAAUUAAUUUAAUUUAUUUAUACUUUUUACUUAUGUUGGUUUAUCACUUAGUUAUGUAACCACAUUUCUUGUAGUAGUGACAUUCCCAGAAGACGAUGUUUCCGCCAUCGUCCUAUUAAUACUAUUAUUAUUUCUUU